rnacentral:rRNA from 1 species
AAUCCAUAGGUUAAUGAGGCGAACCGGGGGAACUGAAACAUCUAAGUACCCCGAGGAAAAGAAAUCAACCGAGAUUCCCCCAGUAGCGGCGAGCGAACGGGGAGGAGCCCAGAGCCUGAAUCAGCAUGUGUGUUAGUGGAAGCGUCUGGAAAGGCGCGCGAUACAGGGUGACAGCCCCGUACACAAAAGCGCAUGUGCUGUGAGCUCGAUGAGUAGGGCGGGACACGUGGUAUCCUGUCUGAAUAUGGGGGGACCAUCCUCCAAGGCUAAAUACUCCUGACUGACCGAUAGUGAACCAGUACCGUGAGGGAAAGGCGAAAAGAACCCCGGCGAGGGGAGUGAAAAAGAACCUGAAACCGUGUACGUACAAGCAGUGGGAGCACCCUUCGGGGUGUGACUGCGUACCUUUUGUAUAAUGGGUCAGCGACUUAUAUUCUGUAGCAAGGUUAACCGAAUAGGGGAGCCGGAGGGAAACCGAGUCUUAAUUGGGCGUUAAGUUGCAGGGUAUAGACCCGAAACCCGGUGAUCUAGCCAUGGG